rnacentral:rRNA from 1 species
CCUACGGGGGGCAGCAGUGGGGAAUAUUGGACAAUGGGGGGAACCCUGAUCCAGCCAUGCCGCGUGUGUGAAGAAGGCCCUCGGGUUGUAAAGCACUUUCAGUGAGGAAGAACGCCUGGUGGUUAAUACCCAUCAGGAAAGACAUCACUCACAGAAGAAGCACCGGCUAACUCCGUGCCAGCAGCCGCGGUAAUACGGAGGGUGUGAGCGUUAUCGGAAUUACUGGGCGUAAAGCGCGCGUAGGUGGCUUGAUAAGCCGGUUGUGAAAGCCCCGGGCUCAACCUGGGAACGGCAUCCGGAACUGUCAAGCUAGAGUGCAGGAGAGGAAGGUAGAAUUCCCGGUGUAGCGGUGAAAUGCGUAGAGAUCGGGAGGAAUACCAGUGGCGAAGGCGGCCUUCUGGACUGACACUGACACUGAGGUGCGAAAGCGUGGGUAGCAAACAGGAUUAGAUACCCCUAGUAGUC